CUUCUGCGCCCCCUCCCGCACCCCCUCCUGUUUGCCCCCCCUUUCCUGCUCCAGCCCCCUACCCCUCCUGCUUCCCCCUCCUGUUGCCCCCUGCCAUCCUCCAGCACCCACCUCCCACACAGUCCACCCACCCACUCCAGGCUGUCAACACCGGCUCAGACCCUGGGCUCCUAGCCUGGCUCCUGGCUAGCCCAACCUGGCUGCGAAGGCAACUCCAGUGAACGGAGCCUUGGAUAGCCUGGGGGUGGGGUCCUCCGGAGCUUGGUCCAGCUCCAGUUUAGGGACCUAACCCAGUAGAGAGAGUCCCCCCCACCAUGACAAAUACCACCCACGAAGACCCCAGUCUCCUCCACACCUGCCCCAGGAGUGCCCCGCGGCCCCUGCCCUGGAACCCUCCCUUCCCUCCUUGGGAAAUGUUCCAGAAGCUCACAGGGUGAUGCAGGGAAGGUGGAGUUCCAGAACCCACCAGGCAGACACCAGGAUACCACUGGCCAGCACCUGGCGCAUUUCUCAACAAAUGACUCAUGAAAAACGGAACAAUCAGAUGUCCGUCAAUGGGGAAUUGGGCUAAAAUGCUAUGGCACACAGGUGCAAUGAGUCAGCCUUUAUUCCUAAUCACCCACAACUGCUGUACGACAACAAAGCAGAAACACAGGUGGUGUGGGCAAACACGGCCACAGCCUCUUGUCACGUGGAAAAUGGGUAUGGCCUGGCCAUGUUUUAGCAGUAUGCCUGUCUAAUCCUAAAAGGCAGCUGGAGGGGAGUGAUGGCCUCCGGGCUGUGGGAUCACGGGGCUCUGUGGGUUCAAGGAACGCAAGCCCAACCUCUCCAGCCAUUUCCAGUGAAGCCAGUCAUGCCCUGGGGUGGCCCAGGGUUCUACCCCUUUGCCCCAUGAACUCUUCUGGGCAGAAGCUGUAGGCCUGGGACCCUCCUGGAACGUCGCCCAUCCAGCACCAGCCCUUGCAGAGGUGGGUGUUCCUCUGGCCUGGGUGUCUGGAGCUGUGCCUGCUCCACACUCUCACCCCACUUCCCACCAAAGGGAGCUCAGGGCUGUGGAUGGUGCUAGGUCAGCUGCCUCCCUGGGUCAGUGGGUUGGAAGGUAGGAAACCAUCACCUCCCCAGAAGAUAAAAUAGUUCCCAGGCAUCCUUAUGAGGAGGGCUGGCUUUGCUGAAAAGAUCCAGGGGGUGGGAACAGAAGUGCCCAAUGGGGUCAAUUAUAGGGUUCACACUUAGGGUGCUGGGUAAACCCUCUCCUCAGUCACCCCAGCAGGGGCUUCUGUACAUUCAACCCUGGUCGCCACCCAGCGCUAUUCCCGAGGGUUGGACAGAGCUCAGGGUGGGCACGAGGCCUUCCCAAGUGAUGCCAGCAGGAGCAACAGAUGUGCAGGGCUCCCGUCGCACGUCCAAGCUCUGCUUCACAACCCAGGACCCCAGGGCCGGCUGCCCGCCAUGUGCUGGCUGUGGACCUUCAGAGGAGCUGGUUUGGAGGGUCUGUGGCCAGGGCCAGCUCCCGGACUCAGGACUCAUCAGCUUCAUUUUACAGAGGAGGAAACUGAGGCCCAGGAGUUUAGGGUCCCGUGGCAGCUCCGAGGGUGGUCUUCUCUGUGAUUACAAAACCUUGACUAGGAUCAGGGGCCAUGGCUGAAGCACCUGGGUGGGUGCCCAGCCCUGCCAGGCAGAAGGCAGGUGGCUUCUCUUGUUUAAAUCUUAGAUCUUACUUAUGGGAGACCUCGGGUGGGGGGUGAGGUCUGCCUUUUGCAUUCUAAUCAGGUGAGUCACAACAGGGAUCAGCACCCUGUAAGCACCUGCGGGUCAAGACAAAGACCCUUGCCGGAGCCCAGAAGCCGCUGCAGGCCCCUCCCAUCCCAUCAGUAGCCCAUCCCUAGGGGUCUGGUGGCCUCUCCCUUCACUCUGUGGGUUUCCGUGUCCACGUAUAUCCUCCCACACGGCAGCCUGGGGUUAAAUGUGCGUUGUGUGACUUUCAGUGCCCUCUUCCUACCCACCUCCAUCCCUCUGUCCUUUUCUGUACCCGGCACCUGUUGUAGGAAGUGGCCCUCGGACACGUGGAGGUACUCGAGGCCUGGGUUGGAGCUGCAUCUUUCGGUGCAGGCCUCUGCGUCUCCUGGAAGUGGGCACCUGGAGCCAGGGGCCUGCUGGGAUCCGGGUCCAGUCCCCUGGCAAGGCCGGGGGCUCGCAGAGGGAGCCACGCACUGUCUGGUGGUAGCUCCUCCAUCUGCAGUCGUUGGUGCUUGAUGUCUGAAUCGACAGAUUCAUGGAGCAAAAUGGUGAUUUUCCAGUGCGUGGUGGCUUCAUGAUGAAUUCACUGGAGGGAGAGGCUCGUCUUGUCCGUCUGGCCGUCUGGAUAAUGGUGCCCACAGGAAAGGCAGGGCAAGGGUGCCUCUCCCUCAUUUGUCGGUUUUCACAACGGUGAAUUGGUUCCCGACAAUCUCCCAAGUAUAUUUGUACAUCGCUGAUGAAACACAUUGGUGGGUCUCAGUCGAUCGCCAUUAGUGCCCUUUCCAAGCAUCGGCGUCCAGCUUUGCCCAGGGGAGUCUCUUCAUAUGCAAUCUCGCGUCCUUAUGAUGUGAGCCUGGUCAUCUGCGAUGGCCUCUUGGCCGUGUGCAGGGCACAGCCAGGGGAACCCUGGGAUUUAGUGCGAAAGUGUAGCCGAUGGUGGUUACAUUCUGUGUGUAGAUUCUCGGAACAGUCCCUGCUGCCUGCCACCCUGGGGUGGAGUUUCUAAUUGAUUAGGACGGACACCCAAUGCCAGCUUCCAAGCCAGGAGGCCGCUCGUGCCCACGGCUUGGAAUCAGGGCUGUGGCCUGGGAGGGCUCUCACCAGACGCAGGCUGCCUCCAGGUGUCUGUGUGCCUCUGCCCACGGAGCUUCUCCCCAGGUCCGCGGGUCCCCCCAGUCCACUUCUGCUUUCCUGUUAGGGUGGGGGGCUCAUCUCCUGGUGCGCCAUCUGCAUCCUUCUCGGCUGGGAACCUGCUGUCGGGUACCAGGCAGGGCGCACCUCCAGGGCUGAAGGAUGCAGGUGGGGCUGGCAGGCAGAGUGUCUGUGGAGAGCUCCGUGUCCAGGGAAGGGGACACCUGGAGGAGGCCGGCCCUGGAGGCCCCACACUCCUUCUCACCAGAAAGCCACCCGCCUUCUGCCUGGCAGGGCCGGGCACCCACCCAGGUUCUUGCCUGUUGGCCUGGCACCCAUGGUGAGUGGGGGAGAGAGCGAGUAGGGCAGAGCAGAAGAGAGAGGGGAGGAAGGAGAAUCGGGGGAAGGGGGGAGGGAAAGAAAAGAGGUGGGAAGGGAGGAGAGGGAAGGGAAGCCCCAGUUACCCAAGGCUAAAGUUAUUUUUAAAAAACAAACCUUUUUUUUUUAAGUGUGGUGAGCCUCUCCUGGCAGGGUGGGGUAUGUGGACAUCAGUGGAGGAAGCAGAGGCUCCGGCCACCUGUGGGACCCGCACUCUCCCUGCCCAGGAGUCCCACCAGGGCCGAGAAUUCUGCCCAUGGCCAGGGUGGCCCUAAAUCCCCACAUCCGCCAUCACCUGUGGGGGCUCGAAGGGAGCUGUGGUAGGCAGGGAUGACAGAAGACCCCAGCCACAGCCCCAGGCCCACGGCCGCAUCUCCCCUGAAGAAGCAGCCCUGUCCCAAGGGUUCUGCAAACAAUGCCAGGCUCUUCCCAGGCAGGCACCGCAAGCUGCCCCCCCCCCCCCCGCCCUGAUCCCUGGCUUGCCCAGGGCGGGGCCCCUGGGCCUGGUGGAUGGUGGGCCUGGCCUGGCGCUGGGGAGCCUGUCUGCACAGUGGCCAGAGCUCGUCUGAGACCAUCUGUGUCUGAGACUGUAAGUGACGCCAACAGAAGGUCAAGCUUGAGCGACAAAGCUCUCAGUCCUGUAAUUCACGGACACUGAGUCUUCGCUCAAGUUCCCUCUGGAAGAUUCCGUGGAUGAGUCCGACACACUCUUCCCCUCACUCAGGAGGCUCCAGGAUUUUUAGACCACGUGUGUGGCUUUCCUUCUCUCAAAGUGUAACUCACAUAAUGUUACUCAGAAUCUCACACGGACGCCCGUGAGUUGCAGACACAGGGAAGGUUCGCAUCUCCUCUGAAGUCCAAGCUGCCCAGAAGCCCACCCACCCCCCGCCAGCUCUCGUUCCUGCUCCACAGGUGACUUCUUUCCCGUGAACCUUGGGCAAAUGUUUGUUGUCGGCUCAGGGGGAAAGGCCAUGCCAGGGUCCAGAUGGGCUCAAAACCUCCCAACCUGGCAGACACGCAGCCCUUCAGAAACGGAAGCAGAGCGCAGCACACGAUGUGGCCAAUCCUCUCUCAGACGUCAUAAAGAGCUGGGUUUGGAAGACGAGGCCAACCCUCAUGGAUGCCGCCCCCAACCCCGGCAACACCAUGAGAUCAGGGAUUUGCUGGCUCUGUCUCAGAGCCGCAGAGGGUCCUGCUCAAACCCCAGAGCCACGGGGAUGGGCUGGGGGGCUGGUGGGGGGCGUACUGCGAGGGGCCACUGAGCAGGCUGGGGUGAGCUGGGCCUGGUCUGCGGGGGUGGGGGUGCAGCCUUCGCUGGGGAGGCAGCCAGGGAAGGGGUUCCUACCAGCCCGAGAUGGAGCAACGAAGCAACUAGUGAAGCCAAGUUUGCAAAAUUAUCACCGUUGGUGGAAGGGUUCCGACCUGACUCCAUCUUGGUUCUGACCUCCAAGCUGUCCUUGUUCCUUCCUGGGCGUAGGCUGAACUAACUUUGGGAGGAACUUAGUUUAUAGUUAAAAUAAACCUCCUUCUUGCCUAAGGGCUAGACUGCCUUUGUAGGAUUAACAAAUUAGCCACAAGAUUAAAGAAAUUGUGGUUUAGGAGUCAUGCAACUGGAGGCUACACGAUUCUGACCCUCCCUAAACUGCUCCUAAAAUCCAUGCUUGAGAUGUUUUGCAGACCCUCGUUGCGCUAGAUGGAUCAGCUGGCACCACCCAGAUCAAUAGACUGGCUCAUCUGAUCUUGUGACCCCCACCAGGAACUGACUCCGCACAAAAGGACAGCUUCAAUUCCCUAUGAGUUCAUCUCUGACCUGACCAAUCAGCACUCCUGGCUCGCUGGCUUCCUCACCCACUAAGCUGUCCUUAAAAACUGAUCCCUGCCGGGCGGUGGCUCACGCCUGUAAUCCCAGCACUUUGGAAGGCUGAGGUGGGUGGAUCACGAGGUCAGGAGAUCGAGACCAUCCUGGCUAACACGGUGAAACCCUGUCUCUACUAAAAAUACACACAAAAAAAUUAGCCGGUCAUGGUGGCAGGUGCCUGAAGUCCCAGCUACUCGGGAGGCUGAGGCAGGAGAAUGGCGUGAACCCAGGAGGUGGAGCUUGCAGUGAGCUGAGAUCGCGCCAUUGCACUCCAGCCUGGGGGAUAGAGUGAGACUCCGUCUCAAAAAAAGAAAAAAAGAACUGAUCCCAAAUGUGUGGGGAGACUGAUUUCAGUAAUAAUAAAACUCCGGUCUCCCGCA